rnacentral:rRNA from 1 species
GGUUCCCUACGGGAGGCAGCAGUAGGGAAUCUUCCACAAUGGACGAAAGUCUGAUGGAGCAACGCCGCGUGAGUGAAGAAGGGUUUCGGCUCGUAAAGCUCUGUUGGUAGUGAAGAAAGAUAGAGGUAGUAACUGGCCUUUAUUUGACGGUAACUACUUAGAAAGUCACGGCUAACUACGUGCCAGCAGCCGCGGUAAUACGUAGGUGGCAAGCGUUGUCCGGAUUUAUUGGGCGUAAAGCGAGUGCAGGCGGGUCAAUUAGGC